rnacentral:lncRNA from 1 species
GUCAGAGAAUUUUACCUAAACUUGGGGUACAGCAAUGAAACAGUGAAAUCCAUAGUGAAGGGUGUAGACAUUAGCCUUGAUCCUAUGCUUUUGGGGGAGAUACUUUAUUUACCUUGUGAGGGAUAUACCAACAUGGAACUCCCAGUUAAAGAGGAAGGAAUCCUAGGGAGAAUCUUCAUUAGAAGUCUGAACAAAUUAGAGGC